GCUUCAUAAUGGGAACUAACAUUUUCUGGAACUUCACGACUUAAAAAGUAAAUUCAUGUAUGAAAGAUCUUCACAGAAGAGUGGAGUGUGCACCCCUACCAAUAACUGGAUAUUCACUAAUCCCUUCUCAAAUGCUUUGCCCUCCAACAGAACGAGGAGGAAUACUGAAAAUCACAGGAUAAGCUUCCUGGGCCAUCAGCUGUGUUCCAAUAUUUGUGGAGGCAUCUCAGUAAUUUUAACA
rnacentral:lncRNA from 1 species